AUGUAUUUGUAUACAUUUCUCACGUUUUAAAAACAAAGAUUAUUUUCUAUAUACAUGUCUUAAAUGUCCAUGUAAAAUGAGUGAAAUCAUUUUAAAGGAAUCGUAACUCGUUGUCAUGGUUUUGACAUAAACAGAACUUUAACUAUCCAGUAUGUAUAAUGUCUUUUACGCAUGCGCAAUGAACUGUGCUCUCAUAAAUGUGUCAUAUUUGACCUGGAACAAAACAUUGUUGAAUGAAUUUUGCAUAUUUUUUACAUUUUUAUUUCAAAUGUCUACACAUGUGUUUACAAUAUUUUAUGCAAACCCUUACUUUAAGAGUGCCUUGGCAUUUUUUUUCCGAUAUAAUAUACUCACACAUCAUUCACAUAGUUCAGUACAUGUGUAAUUUGUAUUAAACUUGUUAUAUAUUUUUGUCAUUAUUUUGACGUAUUAAUUGCAUGUAAUUAUGCAUAUUUCAUCAAUGUACAGUUAUCAUAUGAUGUUUUUCCCCGUUGUUGUAAAAUAUUGUUUCUGACUUGAAUCAAUGAAGUGAUCGUAAAAGAU
rnacentral:misc_RNA from 1 species